rnacentral:rRNA from 1 species
GUACACUCCUACGGGAGGCAGCAGUGGGGAAUAUUGGACAAUGGGCGCAAGCCUGAUCCAGCCAUGCCGCGUGAGUGAUGAAGGCCCUAGGGUUGUAAAGCUCUUUUGUGCGGGAAGAUAAUGACGGUACCGCAAGAAUAAGCCCCGGCUAACUUCGUGCCAGCAGCCGCGGUAAUACGAAGGGGGCUAGCGUUGCUCGGAAUCACUGGGCGUAAAGGGUGCGUAGGCGGGUCUUUAAGUCAGGGGUGAAAUCCUGGAGCUCAACUCCAGAACUGCCUUUGAUACUGAAGAUCUUGAGUUCGGGAGAGGUGAGUGGAACUGCGAGUGUAGAGGUGAAAUUCGUAGAUAUUCGCAAGAACACCAGUGGCGAAGGCGGCUCACUGGCCCGAUACUGACGCUGAGGCACGAAAGCGUGGGGAGCAAACAGGAUUAGAUACCCGAGUAGUCCC